UUACGGUCAAAUCACGUUGAAAACCCCGGUUCUCGUUCGAUCACCGAAGUUAAGCAUCGUAGAGCCAGGUCAGUACUUAGAUGGGGACCGCUUGGGAACACCUGGUACUGUAA
rnacentral:rRNA from 1 species